ACUCUGGUCACAUAACCUGUAGCGUAAUGGACUUCUAAUCCAUAGGUCGUGGGUUUGAAUCCCGCCUGGGAUG